rnacentral:rRNA from 1 species
AGCGAACGCUGGCGGCAGGCUUAACACAUGCAGGUCGAGCGGGCACUUUCGGGUGUCCGCGGCGGACGGGUGCGUAACGCGUGGGAACGUGCCCUCUGGUUCGGAAUAACUCAGGGAAACUUGAGCUAAUACCGGAUACGCCCUUUUGGGGAAAGGCUUGCUGCCGGAGGAUCGGCCCGCGUCUGAUUAGCUAGUUGGUGAGGUAACGGCUCACCAAGGCGACGAUCAGUAGCUGGUCUGAGAGGAUGAUCAGCCACACUGGGACUGAGACACGGCCCAGACUCCUACGGGAGGCAGCAGUGGGGAAUAUUGGACAAUGGGCGCAAGCCUGAUCCAGCCAUGCCGCGUGAGUGAUCAAGGCCUUAGGGUUGUAAAGCUCUUUUAUCCGGGACGAUAAUGACGGUACCGGAGGAAUAAGCCCCGGCUAACUUCGUG